rnacentral:rRNA from 1 species
UACGGAGGCCCCAAGCGUUGUUCGGAUUUAUUGGGCGUAAAGGGUGCGUAGGCGGCAUUGUAAGUCUGGUGUGAAAGGCGUGGGCUCAACCCGCGGACUGCAUUGGAUACUGCGAUGCUAGAGGACUGGAGAGGAGAAUGGAAUUCACGGUGGAGCAGUGAAAUGCGUAGAUAUCGUGAAGGAAGGCCAGUGGCGAAAGGCGAUUCUGCUGGACAGUAUCUACGUGAGGCACGA